rnacentral:rRNA from 1 species
UAACCUGGUGAACCAAAACAUUGUAGUAACCAGAGGAAAGGAAAUCAAACGAGACUCCAUAAGUAGCGGCGAGCGAACGUGGACC